ensembl:rRNA nuclear encoded rRNA 5S 24
GUCUGUGACCCUCCUUCCCUGAAGUUGACAGAUCUCAUCCAAUCUCAGAGUCUAAGCAGGGUCAACCUGGUUAGUACUUGGAUAGCGACUGCUUUGGAAUUCAGGGCACUGUAGGCU